rnacentral:rRNA from 1 species
UACGUAGGGCGCAAGCGUUGUCCGGAAUUAUUGGGCGUAAAGAGCUCGUGGCGGUUUGUCGCGUCUGCUGUGAAAGCCCGGGGCUCAACCCCGGGUCUGCAGUGGGUACGGGCAGACUAGAGUGCAGUAGGGGAGACUGGAAUUCCUGGUGUAGCGGUGAAAAUGCAGCAGAUAUCAGGAGGAACACCGAUGGCGAAGGCAGGUCUCUGGGCUGUUACUGACGCUGAGGAGCGAAAGCAUGGGGAGCGAACAGGAUUAGAUACCCGGUGUC